rnacentral:rRNA from 1 species
AUUGAACGCUGGCGGCAGGCCUAACACAUGCAAGUCGAACGAGUGGCGGACGGGUGAGUAAUGUUUGGGAAACUACCUUAUGGAGGGGGAUAACUACUGGACACGGUAGCUAAUACCGCAUACCAUCGGAUGUGCCCAGAUGGGAUUAGCUAGUUGGUGGGGUAAAGGCUCACCUAGGCGACGAUCCCUAGCUGGUCUGAGAGGAUGACCAGCCACACUGGAACUGGGACACGGUCCAGACUCCUACGGGAGGCAGCAGUGGGGAAUAAUGCAGAAUGGGCGCAAGCCUGACGCAGCAAUUCCGCGUGAAUGAAGAAGGCCUUCGGGUUGUAAAGUACUUUCGGCGGGGAGGCGUUACCCGCAGAAGAAGCACCGGCUAACUCCGUGCCAGCAGCCGCGGUAAUUC